rnacentral:rRNA from 1 species
GACGAACGCUGGCGGCGUGCCUAAUACAUGCAAGUCGAACGCAGUGGGGACGGGUGAGGAACACGUGGGUAACCUCCCAUCAGAGGGGAUAACAGUUGGAAACAGGUGCUAAACCGAUACUGAUGGAUGGACGCGGGGUGCCUUGGCUAGUUGGUGAGGUGACGGCUCACCAAGGCCACGAUGCGUAGCCGACCUGAGAGGGUGAUCGGCCACACGGGUACUUAGACACGGCCCUGCCUCCUACGGUAUGCAGCAGUAGGGAAUGUUCGGCAAUGGACGAAAGGCUGACCGAGCAAUGCCGCGUGAGUGAAGGAGGUUUUCGGAUCUUAAAACUCUGUUGUUAGAGAAGCGGUAUCUAACCAGAAAGCCACGGCUAACUACGUGCCAGCAGCCGCGGUAAUUC